rnacentral:rRNA from 1 species
CCUGCCCAGUGAAAUUUUAACGGCCGCGUAAGUGCUAAGGUAGCAUAAUCACUUGCCUUUUAAUUGGAGGCUAGAAUGAAUGGAGUUAUAAAUUAUUACUUUAUUAUAAAUAAAUAUAAAAAUUAAAUAUUAUGUGAAAAUUCAUAAAUUUUAUAAAAAGACCAAAAGACCCUUGGAGCUUUAAUUUAAAUUUUAUUAUUAAAAUUAAAAUUUUUAUUGGGGUGAUAAUGGAUAUUCAUCCUAUUACAAAUAAUAUAAAACUUUAUUAUAGAAAAGAAGUUACCCUAGGGAUAACAGGCUACUCUUUUUUAAAAGUACACAUUUACAAAAAGAUCUAGCACCUCGAUGUUGGCUUAGGAGUAAAUAAAAUGUAGCAGUUUUAUUUAAUGGCUU